rnacentral:lncRNA from 1 species
AGGGACAGGACCCGCGUGGUAACUCCCAGAGGGACAGAGGGACAGGACCCACGUGGUAACUCCCGGAGGGACAGAGGGACAGGACCCACAGCCACCAACAAAGGCAAGCGCAUCUGCUCACUAUCAGAAUGCACAACAGUGGAACUGCAAGAUGCUGAUUUCAGUGAAAAAAAAAAAAAUUCCACAAUCUACGUACAGAAAGGAUCUUUAAGAUAGUCCUGGGAAUGUCUGAUGAAAAAUCUAUGUGUGGACUUCAAAUCUUUUUUAACCAAAAUAAACCUAUCUCUUAACUCCAUUUCUCCAUGAACCCUUUAAGUACCCUUAUAUAUGCUUUACUGUCUGAAAAAAACAAAUACCCCAUUUUCAUUGGGUACAUUCCCCUAAAACACGGUUAAAGCAGUACAUACGGAAUGGCUAAUCCAGGGAAACAGCACUGCCAAGUCUCUGACCUGCCACACACAACUGCAAGGCUUUCCCUUGGGAACAGGAAUGCACCAUGCAAACUGUUUGUUCCCUGAGAAAACAGGCUGAUCUCCGGGGCUGGGCACGCCGCGUCCCCUCUCCAGCCCCAUCCACAGCCGCCGUGCCGGGUAACAGCCUCCCGUCUGCAGCUGGGUGUGCAGGUAACAGCCUCCCGUCUGCAGCUGGGCGUGCAGGUAACAGCCUGGCGUCUGCGGCUGGGCGUGCAGGUAACAGCCUGGCGUCUGCGGCUGGGCGUGCAGGUAACAGCCUGGCGUCUGUGGCUGGGCGUGCAGGUAACAGCCUGGCGUCUGUGGCUGGGCGUGCAGGUAACAGCCUGGCGUCUGCGGCUGGGCGUGCGGGGUUGCGCCAGCAGGACCCCACCUCCCUUCUGCUUCUUCCCUGGACGAACACCACCCCGAGCUCCGAUGCAAACACUCGGCUCGUACUUCCCACCCAACCCAGCUCAGCCUCCCACAGCUGCUCCCUGUACCAAACUCCCACAAGUCUGUGUGUGUGCACACAUAAAAAAUUGGGGGCCCCGUUCCUAAAAUGAUGAGAAUUUCAAUUUUUCCAAUUCAACUGUUAACAAAUCACAUUUGGCUUUCAUACACUUUAAGAUUUUUAGGCUGGAACCAGGGUUGGAGGUUAAGCUGCCAGCUAUGACCCAGGCAUCCCAUGAGCGCUGGUUCAAGUCCCAGCUGCUCCACGUCCAUUCCGGCUCCCUGCUGAUGCACCUGGGAAAGCAGUGGAGAUGGUCCGAGUGCUAGGGCCUCUGCACCCAGGUGGGAGUUCUGGACUCCUGGUUUGGGCUGGCCCAGCCUAGAUCAUUGCUGCCAUUUAGGGAGCCGACCAGCAGAUGGAGGAUCCCUGGCUCUCCUUCUCUCUCUAACUCUGCCUUUAAUACUCAACUUGAAAUCAUUUAAUUUUAGAAAAAUGAAAAAUUUAACAAAAGCUCUAUUACCACAGAGACAUUUUAGUGACAAACACAGGGACUGGCGCUGUGGUGUAAUGGGCUAAGCCACUCCCUGUGAUGCCAGCAUCCCACAUCAGAGCACUGACUCCAGUCCCAGCUGCUCCACAUCCAACCCAGCUCCCUGCGAAGGGCCUGGGAAAAGCAGCAGAGGUGGCCCAGGUAUGUGCCACGUGCCAGACCCAGAUGAAGCUCCUAGCUCCUAACCCAGCCCCGACAGUUGAGGCCAUUUGGAGAGUACACCAGCAGAUGGAAGAUCUCUCCCUCCUCUCUCCCUGUAACUCUGCCUUUCAAAUAAAUGAAAUCUUUAAAAAUAAACA